GUGCUGUGUGCCCCUCAUCAGAUGUUCCCCAGGAAAUGCGAGCACCCUCUGGGGAAAGGUCAGCAGCCACUAGAGGGAGCCAGACAUCCUGGACGGCCCUCCGCCCCACCUGUGCCUUGCUGGGCACACAGAGGCUCUGCCCUGUGAGCCUCUUCUUGCACCCCGCCUCCCCACAAGCUGUUGUCCCUGCCCCCAAGGGAGACGAGGUUCACACUCAGCUCACUUCUGGCUGGCCCACUGGGCACCAUUCUGGUACCUGCUGACUGGUCUCUGGAAGACCCCCGGGCCUCCCUGCCCACCUCCCUGCCAGUCUGUGAUGUCCCAUCUUGAAGCCAGUGCAGCUCUGAUUCAGGAUGGACGGGGUGGGAGCUGCUGGUGUGACAAGAGCCCGAUAACUGCAGGGCAGGAGGGCAGGGGGUCACGCUGUGAGCAGCCAUGUGGAGGCCUGAGGAUGGGGGCCAAUGGGUCCAGGAAUAGCGGCCAGACCACUAAACACUCUGGCUAAGGGUCACCUCUAGGCCCCCUUGCCCACGUGCUUCCCCUCUGUCCUGAGACCACCCCAUACUCAGUCACUUCCCAUCAUCCAAGUGCCCGUCUACCUCCGGCCUCUGGCCAAUGCAGGGCCCACUCCUGUCCUGAGAGGCCUUACCUGUUGGGGUUGGGGAAGAGACUGCCACCAGACAGAAGUAGCCAGGGGAGCAGGGUGCAGAGGGGGCAGCAAGGCCAGACACACCACAGAAAUGGCCAGAGGGGCAGGGUAGGCACUCUGAGGCCGUGGAGAGAAGCAUCCUGGGACACAGAGAGCGAGUGCGGGUCAGUGGGAAAGGAGGCCCUUAGGGUAGAGAGGCUAUGUCCCGGCGAGAGACCCGCCCUUCUGGGGCUGCCUUCUCAUUUCUCCUUGUUGAGGCUCCCUGGGCUUCCUCGCGCUCCCAUGCGCGGUCCAAGGUGGCGUCUGGGUGUGCUGGGUCUCUCUCUCCUAAGAUAGGCUCCUGGUUAGUUUCCUUGUCAUCUUAAUCCCCAGUUCAGAGUCAGGCUGUCCAGGGCCGCAGACCCCUGGUCUGGCAGCUGCAGUCAGAAUGUCCAGCAGCCUUUCAGCCACGGGUUCCUCAGCUGCCUCAUUCUGCGGUGCCCUUGCUUGGGGGUUGGGCAGUUCCUAAAGGUGGGAGAUGGGGCUCUACUCUCAAAUGAGGUGCAGGCAGACACACAGGCUUCUUCCUGGUUUGCUCCUCAGGCCUGACACGUUCUCAAGCGGCCAGCAGCCAGCACCGUCUGCCCUGAUUCUGACCAUCGUGCUCCCCGUCCCUCCGCUGCUGCUCAGGGGGUUCCUGCCCUUGGAGGCCAGGCAGAAGUCCUGCUCUCUGAGGUCCAUGUUCCUCCAUGGCGGAGGGACAUCAUUGGUGAGACAGAUAGAUGGUCACUGUGGGAAGGAAGACCAGGAAGACUGCCCCUUGGACCUGGGGCAGUGGCACUCACCGAUCUGAGAAGGUGCCCACAGGGCAGGGCAGGGGCACCCCCGUGCCCUCUGGACAGAAGUGGCCUGGAGGGCAGGGCCCCCCUGCCGUGCCACAAAAGGCUCCAUGGGAGUGGGUGACAUCAGCUCCUGCCCAAAGUCAGGAGGGGGUGAGGUCACAGAGCAACUCCUCCUCAGCCCAAAGCCCCCACCUCGACCCCCCUCAACCACAGGACGUUUCCUGGAGAUUGAAAACUGGAGUGACAGCACCCUCCACUGCCAGGGUGGCGCUCAAGUCCAGGGUGCCACCCAAUCCUCACCUCCAAGGGACUUUGGGUGGGGCUCCAGGUGCAGGGUGGACCCUGAGAUGGGUCCCCGUCUGAAUUAAUUAGAGGUUAUCUGAGUGGGCCUUAGGACCCCAAAGGUGGGGAGAAAGUACAGGGGUGCCAGCAUUUGGCCUAUCUGGGUACAGGGCAGAACAGGAGAGUCUGGAGGUCAAAUGCAGGCCCCCACAAUGUUUGUUUUGGAAACCUGUUCCUAUCUUGGCCAAGUCUGUCAUUUUUAUUUCUGCUGUCAGGUCCCCUUACAGUUUGCUGAAACCCUUUUGGGAUGAGAUGGGGCACAUAAUGAUACUGAUAAUAAGCUCUAAGGACAAGUGCUUUGUCUGGGAAGAGAAAAGAGAGAGGAGUGUGUGAUCCCAUUUUUGUGACUGCCCCCAAACGGGCUGACCCGUCUGUGGAAGCACGUGCGCGCACACGUACGCAGGUGCGAGCCUAGGACAUGUGUGGUGCCCCGCGCAAAUGCAUGUUGCCCCUCCUAAGCAGACUAUGGAGACGGGAAGACGAGGGCAGAGUGACGCAUCUUUAAACGUCUGUGAUCUUGCAGUUUGCGUCAAAGUCAUCUCCACAGCCCUAAGGACACUGAUGUGACAAGGGAGGGGUUCUCUCCAGGAAUCAUUGGAUCACAGGGUGGGAACUGCCUGGCAGCUCCUGCUGCAUCUGCCGACUGAGUCCAGCAGCCCUGGGCAGGGCAGUGGGGGAGAGGCCCUGUCCACAGCGGUGCCUUGCCAGGGCUUCCGCAGUUGCGUUUACUUUCAGUAAUGAGUAGGUGCACGUCACACAAAAGUGGCUUCGCUUCACAUGUCCUUCCUUGCCAGCCCGGCUGCGCCUUUUCCUAGUGAUAGCAGAUUUGUGUUUGGUCCUUUUUCAGGUGGGAGCCGGAAGCUGACAUUAGAACUUUGGCGCUUUCCUUACUGUCUCGUGUUUUCAUGGCCCUGUUUGAUGGCUGAGGUUCCUCCAGCUCUGCCCCUGCAGUAGUGUCAUCCUAUCUUCAGUGGGAGCUCCCUGUCACCCUUGGGCAGUGAGCCCCAGAGGGCAGGAGCUGGGCCUUCACCUUCUGGACAGGCCAGUCUGGUGGGGCAAAUCUCACAGUGCGACAGGUUGGAGAGGUUGGUGCGGUUGCUGAAGGUCCCAGGUGGGCAGGCGUGGCGGGGAGUGUGCAGACAGGAGCCCACAAGGCACACAUACCUACGACACCCAUGGAGUUGGAGCCAGACCCAUUCUUCCAAGGUGGGAGGAGACAUUGUUGAUGGUGGUGAUUGUGAAGACAACAGGAGCUCUUUGCUGAUCACUCACUAGGAAGUACAACUACUUUACUAUGAAGGAAGAUUUUCCUCCACACCUGGCAACAGCUCAGCCAAUGAGAAAUGCUGCAGCCCAGCCAAUCAGAAACGCCACAGCUCAGCCAAUGAGAAAUGCUACAGCCCAACCCAUCAGAAACUCUACGGCCCAGCCAAUGACAAAUGCUGCAGCCCAGCCAAUCAGAAAUGCCACAGCUCAGCCAAUGAGAAAUGCUGCAGUCCAACCCAUCAGAAACUCUACAGCCCAGCCAAUGAGAAAUGCUGCAGCCCAGCCAAUCAGAAACGCCACAGCUCAGCCAAUGAGAAAUGCCACAGCUCAGCCAAUCAGAAAUGCUACAGCCCAGCCAAUGAGAAAUGCUGGAGCCCAGCCAAUGAGAAACACCACAGCUCAGCCAAUAAGAAGCCAUUUCCGCCCUGAAGUGUUACUUCCCCCAAUGGACUUUCCUUUAGAACAGCGGCUACCUACUCCCCUUCUCUAUAAAAGCAGCUCCCCUCCUUUGUUUUCUGGAUUUACCUAUGGUUUCCCAUAGCAUGCACAUCCCCAAUUGUAAUUCUUUCUGCUAUUCCUGAAUAAACUCAUUUUGAC
rnacentral:lncRNA from 1 species